rnacentral:rRNA from 1 species
UACGGAGGGUGCAAGCGUUAUUCGGAAUUACUGGGCUUAAAGGGUGCGUAGGCUGUGCGGAAAGUUAGGUGUGAAAUCCCCCGGCUCAACCAGGGAAUAGCGCUUAAAACUACCGUGCUGGAGAAAGACAGAGGUGAGCGGAACUUCGGGUGGAGCGGUGAAAUGCGUUGAUAUCCGAAGGAACACCGGUGGCGAAAGCGGCUCACUGGGUCUUUUCUGACGCUGAUGCACGAAAGCUAGGGGAGCAAACGGG